GUCGCAGCGCUCUUGUCAAGUUGGGGCUUCGCUGCCUGUUGGCGAUUUGGCUUCCUAUUUUCAGCUGCAAACAACUGAUGACGAGGUUGACGAUGGCGAUGAUGUGUCGAUGGCUUCGAUAUCGUCGUCCGACGAUGACGCGACGGAUAACGAAGAAGCGCUACCCGUCGAGGAAGACAGCGAUGACGCUACGCUUAACGUUUCUAGUACCUGUUUUGCAAGUUUGGGCGUUCGCCGUUGGGAAGAAUUUGAGUUAUGCGCAUAGCAACGCAUGAGUGUUCGGUUGCUAUGGCUGUGUACCCGUAUGUUGUGGUAGACAUCGGUAUGUAAAACAGUUUGAUGUCUAUUCGUUUCGUUUUUUGCUAUGCGCUGUUUAGUUUUUACGUUUCAGUAAGUGUUUUCCAAGUUUGGAUGUUAGGAGUUGGCAAGAAUUUGAGUUAUGCCCAUAGCAACGCACAUAGCAACGGAUCUGAAGGCAGGCAUAACUCAAAGACCAGGUAUCGCUGCCAAGAAUGCAACGUCCCCCUCUGUGUGUCAUCUGCUGAGCGACAGUGCUUUAUAAAAUAUCACACUGAGGAUGACUGAAAAUUGCUAAACUGUGACUGUGUAUAUUGUAUAUUUCUAUUUAUAGUGUUGUAUAUUUCUAUUAUAUAUUGUUGUAUAUUUCUAUAUAUAUUGUUGUAUAUUUCUAUUUAUAUAUUGUUGUAUAUUUUUAUUUAUAUAUUGUUAUAUAUUUCAUUUAUACAGUAUUGUAUUAGGUGAUCUA